rfam:Gymnopus luxurians FD-317 M1 unplaced genomic scaffold GYMLTscaffold_32, whole genome shotgun sequence.
GGCCGACUAGCUCAGUUGGUUAGAGCGUCGUGCCAAUAUACUGGGUAACUGACAUAUUAACGCGAAGGUCUUGGGUUCGAUCCCCACGUUGGCCA